rnacentral:rRNA from 1 species
ACUCCUACGGGAGGCAGCAGUGGGGAAUAUUGCACAAUGGGCGCAAGCCUGAUGCAGCCAUGCCGCGUGUAUGAAGAAGGCCUUCGGUUGUAAAGUACUUCUAGCAGUGAGGAAGGCAGGUACGUUAAUAGCGUGCUUGUUUGUACGUUAGCUGCAGAAGAAGCACCGGCUAACUCCGUGCCAGCAGCCGCGGUAAUACGGAGGGGUGCGAGCGUUAAUCGGAAUUACUGGGCGUAAAGCGCAUGCAGGUGGUUUGUUAAGUCAGAUGUGAAAGCCCGGGGCUCAACCUCGGAAUUGCAUUUGAAACUGGCAGACUAGAGUACUGUAGAGGGGGUAGAAUUUCAGGUGUAGCGGUGAAAUGCGUAGAGAUCUGAAGGAAUACCGGUGGCGAAGGCGGCCCCCUGGACAGAUACUGACACUCAGAUGCGAAAGCGUGGGGAGCAAACAGGAUUAGAU